CACGUAGUUAGCCGGGGCUUCUUAGUCAGGUACCGUCAUUUUCUUCCCUGCUGAUAGAAGUUUACAUACCGAAAUACUUCUUCCUUCACGCGGCGUCGCUGCAUCAGGGUUUCCCCCAUUGUGCAAUAUUCCCCACUGCUGCCUUCCGUAGGAGUUUGGGCCGUGUCUCAGUCCCAAUGUGGCCGUUCACCCUCUCAGGCCGGCUACUGAUCGUCGCCUUGGUGAGCCCUUACCUCGCCAACCAGCUAAUCAGACGCGGGUCCAUCUCAUACCACCGGAGUUUUUCACACCGUCCCAUGCGAGACCGUGCGCUUAUGCGGUAUUAGCAGUCAUUUCUAACUGUUAUCCCCCUGUAUGAGGCAGGUUACCCACGCGUUACUCACCCGUCCGCCACUCAGUCAAAUAGACUUCAAACCGAAGUAAUCCGUCUUAAGUGCUUCGUUCGACUUGCAUGUGUUAAGCGACGCCGCCAGCGUUCAUCCUGAGCCAGGACUCAAACUCU
rnacentral:rRNA from 1 species